rnacentral:rRNA from 1 species
CGAACGCUGGCGGCGUGCCUAAUACAUGCAAGUUGAGCGCUGAAGGUUGGUACUUGUACCAACUGGAUGAGCAGCGAACGGGUGAGUAACGCGUGGGGAAUCUGCCUUUGAGCGGGGACAACAUUUGGAAACGAAUGCUAAUACCGCAUAAAAACUUUAAACACAAGCUUUAAGUUUGAAAGAUGCAAUUGCAUCACUCAAAGAUGAUCCCGCGUUGUAUUAGCUAGUUGGUGAGGUAAAGGCUCACCAAGGCGAUGAUACAUAGCCGACCUGAGAGGGUGAUCGGCCACAUUGGGACUGAGACACGGCCCAAACUCCUACGGGAGGCAGCAGUAGGGAAUCUUCGGCAAUGGACGAAAGUCUGACCGAGCAACGCCGCGUGAGUGAAGAAGGUUUUCGGAUCGUAAAACUCUGUUGGUAGAGAAGAACGUUGGUGAGAGUGGAAAGCUCAUCAAGUGACGGUAACUACCCAGAAAGGGACGGCUAACUACGUG